rnacentral:rRNA from 1 species
GACAGAGGUGCCAAGCGUUAGGCGGAAUCACUGGGCUUAAAGCGUGUGUAGGUGGAUGCCUAAGUACCUUGUGAAAUCCCACGGCUCACCCGUGGAACUGCUUGGUAUACUGGGUGUCUUGAGCCACUUAGGGGUCGCUGGAACAAACGGUGGAGCGGUGAAACGCGUAGAUAUCGUUUGGAACGCCAAUGGUGAAAACAGGCGACUGGGAGUGUGCUGACACUGAGACACGAAAGCCAGGGGAGCGAACGGG